rnacentral:rRNA from 1 species
UUCGCCUGGUAACUACGAGCUCAUCAAAUUUCAAGCUUAAAAGCCAAAGGACUUGGCGGUGCUUCAAACCCCCCUAGAGGAGCCUGUUCUAUAACCGAUAAUCCCCGUUAAACCUCACCCUUCCCAGCCCACUCCAGCUUAUAUACCGCCGUCGUCAGCUUACCCCGUGAGGGUCUUUUUAACACAUAAACAAAAAGUAGGCAAAAUUGGUUCAUCCCCAGCAAGUCAGGUCGAGGUGUAGCAUAAGGAAGGGGAAGAAAUGGGCUACAUUCUCUAAUGCAGAGAACACAGCGGAUCGUCCUGAAACAAGACAUCCAAAGGUGGAUUUAGCAGUAAGAGGGAAGCAGAGUGCCCCUCUGAAGACGGCCCUGAAGUGCGUACACACCGCCCGUCACUCUCCCCAAGCACUGUCGCAGCACCUAAAUAAAAAGUUAGAUAAGCACAGGGGAGG